ACAAUAUAUUAAAUGGAUUUUUGGAACUAGGAGUUGGAAUAGGAGCUUGCUCUGUCCACUCCACGCAUUGGCCUGGUAUUGCAGUACCUCCAGGAACGGUGC
rnacentral:snRNA from 1 species